UACAGAGGGUGCGAGCGUUGUUCGGAAUUACUGGGCGUAAAGCGCGCGCAGGUGGAUCUUGUAAGUCUGAAGUGAAAUCUCACUGCUCAACGGUGAGACUGCUUUGGAUACUGCAGAUCUUGAGACCGGUAGAGACUGGUAGAAUUGCAGGUGUAGCGGUGGAAUGCGUAGAGAUCUGCAAGAAUACCCGUGGCGAAGGCGGCCAGUUGGGCCGGUUCUGACGCUGAGGCGCGAAAGCGUGGGGAGCAAACAGG
rnacentral:rRNA from 1 species